rnacentral:rRNA from 1 species
AAAUUUAAACAUAGUUUAAUUAAAAAGAGUUUUUAAUAGUCUUUAUGUUUUAAAAAUAUAAAUUAUAAGAAAUAGAAGAAUUUUUUAGUUUUUCCAAAUUAUGGAAAAAGUUAUUAAUUAUAAAUUUGGCGUUGCUUGUGCCAGCCGCCGCGGUUAUACAAGCAAAUUAAUUUUUUUAAUUUUAUAAGGAUAAAAAAAAUUAAAAGGUAUUAGUUUUAAUAGGUGAAAUUAAAAAACUAAGAGAAUUAA